UACAGAGGGUGCAAGCGUUGUUCGGAAUUAUUGGGCGUAAAGGGAGUGUAGGCGGCCGGGCAAGUCUUCUGUGAAAUCUACGGGCUUAACCUGUAACGUGCAGAAGAUACUGCUUGGCUUGAGUGUCGGAGAGGAUAGUGGAAUUCCCGGUGUAGAGGUGAAAUUCGUAGAGAUCGGGAGGAACACCAGUGGCGAAGGCGACUAUCUGGCUCACAACUGACGCUGAGACUCGAAAGCAUGGGGAGCAAACAGG
rnacentral:rRNA from 1 species